rnacentral:rRNA from 1 species
GGGGGGCCUAAGGUCCCUUGCCAGGUGUUAAACCGAAUUUCGCCCUUACCCGCCUGAACUUAAGCAUAUCAAUAAAGCGGAGGAAAAGAAACUAACAAGGAUUCCCCUAGUAACUGCCAGUGAAGCGGGAAAAGCUCCAAUUUGAAAUCUGGCGGCUCUGCCGUCCGAGUUGUAUUCUGGAGAAGUGCCUUCCGCGCCGGACCGUGUACAAGUCCCUUGGAACAGGGCGUCAUAGAGGGUGAGGAAUCCCGUCUUUGAUCACGGACCCCCCGGUGCUCUGCGAUGCGCUCUCGAAGAGUCGAGUUGUUUGGGAAUGCAGCUCAAAAUGGGUGGGUAAAUUCCAUCUAGAGCUAGAUAUUGGCGAGAGACCGAUAGCGAACAAGUACCGUGAGGGAAAGAUGAAAAGCACUUUGGAAAGAGAGUAAAACAGUACGUGAUAUUGUUGAAAGGGAAACGCUUGAAGUCAGUCGCGUGUGAGGGAACUCAGGCCUGCUUCCGCUUGGUGUAGUUUCCGGUCCGACGGCCCACGCAUCCGUUUUUUGGGUCCGACACUGGACGCGGGGAAGGGGGUAGCUCCCGCCCCCGUAUAGCCUUUUGUCCCAAACGUCUUCGAGGGACCCGAGAAAUCCAGACCAACCUGCGCAUGCGGGGGAAUCGUGCUUUAAUCGCCCUUUUUUGACCCACCUAUGGGGCAAAUUCCGGGCGCCUUAAAUUCCAUCCCCCCCUUAAACGCGCCGCUAUUAAAAUUCCCCGGGUCCCGACUUUUUUUAAACCCCCGUUUUUGGAAAAACCCUGGCCGGUUUCCAAACUCUAAUCGCUUUCGAACAAUAAUCCCCCUUUUUUGCAACCACGGCCCCCUUAUUCCCAAAAGGCUCCCGCACUAGAUAGCCCUUUCCCCACAUUUCGCCCGCCCCUUUCUUCAACCCGCUGUGUUUAGGGCCUUUUCCCCCUUCAAAAAACAUAAAAAUGUUUUUCCCUCCCUUUUUAUGGAGGAGAGAACCCGGUUUUAUUUUUUUUUUUCCGCCCCGUGGGGCCACAGAAGAAGAGGUGUUUUUCCCCCCCGGCCGCCGGCCCCCACGGCCCGGGGUAAGAAACACCCCUCCCCCCCAGAUACCCAACCUCCUCCGGGGGUUGUCAUAUUUUGGCUCCCACACACAGGGUCCUCGCUUGCCCACCCCCCGACCCCCUAAUUUUAAGGCGCGCCGCGCGGUCUU